rnacentral:rRNA from 1 species
GACCUACGGGACGCAGCAGUAGGGAAUAUUGCUCAAUGGGGGAAACCCUGAAGCAGCAACGCCGCGUGAGGGAAGACGGUCUUCGGAUUGUAAACCUCUUUCAGCAGGGAAGACAAAAGGACGGUACCUGCAGAAGAAGCCACGGCUAACUACGUGCCAGCAGCCGCGGUAAUACGUAGGUGGCAAGCGUUAUCCGGAAUUACUGGGUGUAAAGGGUGUGUAGGCGGGGCUGCAAGUCAGAUGUGAAAAUUAUGGGCUCAACCCAUAAACUGCGUCUGAAACUGUAGCUCUUGAGAGUGGGAGAG